UGUUGACUUUUGACAUCAAACUCUUCAGUCCAGCUGCACUCUAUUGAGUGUGGACGAUCUUACUCAAUAGUACCCAAACUGGUCAAGGUUCCUGUAAAGAGAAGACCAAACUUCAGGCAAGAAUAGAGUUUGGAGAUGGGCUUGCUUACCCAUCUAAAGGAUGUGGAAAUGGAGAAUAAGUGAGCUAAUCUUGGAAGAAUUUUGCAGCAAAACAGGACAUUUCUCCAUGGAUCCAGAGGAAGUGGUAACUGAGGGUUUGAGUUGUAUAGGGAUCUGGCUUCUUCAUGGGUAUUCCUAGUGGGUGGCCUCAAGUCUACAACAGAGACUGCUUGGCUGUCUGCAGUGGAAAAGACCUUCAAGUUGACUGUGAGUGGGUGCGACUCAUCAAGAAAAAUAACCUCACCACCACAACAACACAUGAUGGGAGAGACCGAAACUUCUUUGGGAGAACAUAAGGGAAAAAAAAAAAAAGAAAAAGUGAAGUCUAAGUAUUAUUAAACACAUGAAAGCAGAGUCAUUUACUUAAUAGGAAGGCGCUCAUUCACACACAGGUAGACUUGUGGUCCCUUAGAAGUACGUAAACACGACC
ensembl:lincRNA